rnacentral:misc_RNA from 1 species
CUCUGAAGAACCCUCCCUUUUCUGCAAUAUUAUUAUUGAAUCAAGCAGCAUAAUAGCACAAACUUUCAUAGGAUACAACUUGAUAUUCUGAAAAUAAGAUGGUGAAGUGACUGCAAUCUUCCAGAUCUCUUGAAUUGAAUUACAGCUUUUCUGUGUUGUUUGUGUUCAAGAGUUCCAAAUGAAAAGUCUAAGCUUCAUGUAGAAUAUGAUUAGCAUAGUUUAUGGAUGAACCCUUACAUAUUUUAUGAGAAAAGAAACCUAACAGGUGUCGCAAAAAAAAAAAAAAAAUUUUCAUUGGGUUAAUGGAUGGCAUGCA